rnacentral:rRNA from 1 species
GGGGAAUAUUGGGCAAUGGGCGAAAGCCUGACCCAGCCACGCCGCGUGAGUGAUGAAGGCCUUCGGGUCGUAAAGCUCUGUGGGGAGGGAAGAAACCUUCCAGGGAACAAUACCCCUGGGACUUGACGGUACCUCCUUAGCAAGCACCGGCUAACUCCGUGCCAGCAGCCGCGGUAAUACGGAGGGUGCAAGCGUUAAUCGGAAUUACUGGGCGUAAAGCGAGUGUAGGUGGCUAUGUAAGUCGGAUGUGAAAUCCCCGGGCUCAACCUGGGAACUGCAUUCGAUACUGCAUGGCUAGAGUCUGAUAGAGGGAAGUGGAGUUCCAGGUGUAGCGGUGAAAUGCGUAGAUAUCUGGAAGAACACCAGUGGCGAAGGCGGCUUCCUGGAUCAAGACUGACACUGAGGCUCGAAAGCGUGGGGAGCGA